rnacentral:misc_RNA from 1 species
GAUGAAGAACGUAGUGAAAUGCGAUAAGUAAUGUGAAUUGCAGAAUUCAGUGAAUCAUCGAAUCUUUGAACGCACCUUGCGCCUUUUGGUAUUCCGAAAGGCACACCUGUUUGAGCGUCAUGAAUACCUCAAUCUCCAUCUUUUCUUCGGAUUGAUGGGUGACUUGGAUGUUGAGCCCUUCUGGUAUGCUAUAUCAGCUGGCUUUAAACUUAUUAGCCGGCUCUGUACUGGAUCGGUUUGACUCGACGUGAUAAUAUUAUCGUUGAGGAUGCAUGUCUCAUGCAGCCGGAAAGUAUCAAAGCAGCUUCUAGCUUGCCUUUAGUGCACUUUUACAUUUUAGACCUCAGAUCAGGUGGGACUACCCGCUGAACUUAAGCAUAUCAAUAAGCGGAGGA